UUAAGAUACUAAGAGCAUACGGUGGAUGCCUUGGCGAUAUCUGCCGACGAAGGACGUGACAAGCUGCGAAAAGCUGCGGAGAGAUGCAAAUAAUCGGCGACCCGCAGACAUCCGAAUGGAGAAAUCCGGCUGUGAUGAUGCACAGCCAUCCAUGCCCAAGAGCAUGAGAAGGGAACCGGGCGAACUGAAACAUCUAAGUAACCCGAGGAAAAGAAAUCAAACGAGAUACCCCAAGUAGCGGCGAGCGAACAGGGAAGAAGCCCAAACCGGUGAAGGAAACUUUGCCGGGGUUGAGGACCAUCAGACCCGCGAAGAACCUUAGCCGAAACUGUUGGGAAACAGUGCCAAAGACAGUGAAAGCCUGGUAGGCGAAAAAGAGAAACGCGGAGAUGGCACCAGAGUACCGCGGGACACGAGAAAUCCCGUGGGAAACAGGGGGGACCACCCUCCAAGGCAAAACACAGAUAUCGACCGAUAGCGCAUAGUACCAUGAGGGAAAGGUGAAAAGCACCCCGGGAGGGGAAUGAAAGAGAACCUGAAACCGUAUGUUUACAAGCAGUCGGAGACCGCUUAAUAAUAAGGUCGACGGCGUGCCUAUUGAAGAAUGAACCGGCGAGUUACGAAGCCUGGCAAGGUUAAGCAGGAAAUGCGGAGCCGAAGCGAAAGCGAGUCUUAAGAGGGCGAAAGUAGGAUGUUGCAGACCCGAAACCGGGUGAUCUAGCCAUGAGCAGGUUGAAGUUGAGGUGAAACUCAAUGGAGGACCGAACCGACUACCGUUGAAAAGUUAGCGGAUGACUUGUGGCUAGGGGAGAAAUUCCAAUCGAACCCGGAGAUAGCUGGUUCUCCCCGAAAUAGCUUUAGGGCUAGCGUCGGAAAGAACCUUAGUGAAGGUAGAGCACUGAAUGUGUGAUGGCCCCAUCCCGGGGUACUGAAUACAAUCAAACUGCGAAUGUCAUUAAGGAUGUCCGGCAGUCAGACUGUGAGUGAUAAGGUCCAUGGUCAAGAGGGAAACAGCCCAGACCGCCAGUUAAGGUCCCAAAAUACAGGCUAAGUGGAAAAGGAUGUGGGGAUGCCCAGACAACUAGGAGGUUGGCUCAGAAGCAGCCAUCCUUUAAAGAGUGCGUAACAGCUCACUAGUCGAGUGACCCUGCGCCGAAAAUGUACCGGGGCUAAGCCUGAUACCGAAACUGCGGAUUGUAGGAAACUAUAGUGGUAGGGGAGCGUUGUAUACGAGCAGAAGCCGUACCGUGAGGAGCGGUGGAUUGUAUAGAAGUGAGAAUGCCGGUGUGAGUAGCGAGAUGUAGGUGAGAAUCCUACACACCGAAAGCCCAAGGAUUCCAGGGGAAGGUUCGUCCGCCCUGGGUAAGUCGGGACCUAACGCGAGGCCGAAAGGCGUAGUGGAUGGAAAGCAGGCGAAAGAUUCCUGCACCCGUAUAUGGAGCGAAGGAGUGACGGAGACGGAUAGUGUGACCCUCUUAAUGGAUUGAGGGCGAAGCGAAGCGGCUGGUUACCAGGCAAAUCCGGUAACCAAAAGGCUAGAGCGUGACAGGUAAGCGAAAUCCAAGGAAAGUAGCGAAGCACAUGAUGACGGCUUCCAGGAAAAGCUUCUGGCAAUGCAUAUGCGGCCCGUACCAAAACCGACACAGGUGGGCAGGGAGAGAAUCCCGAGGUGAGCGAGAGAACUGUUGCCAAGGAACUCGGCAAAAUGACUCCGUAAGUUAGCGAGAAGGAGUGCUUAAGCAAUUAAGCCGCAGUGAAGAGGCCCAAGCGACUGUUUAACUAAAACACAGCUCUCUGCGAAGUCGCAAGACGAAGUAUAGGGGGUGACACCUGCCCGGUGCUGGAAGGUUAAGAGGAUCUGUUAAGAGCGAUCUGAAGCAGUGAUCCGAAGCCCCAGUGAACGGCGGCCGUAACUAUAACGGUCCUAAGGUAGCGAAAUUCCUUGUCAGGUAAGUUCUGACCCGCAUGAAAGGCGUAAUGAUUUGGGCACUGUCUCAACAGCCCGCCCGGCGAAAUUGUAGUACCGGUGAAGAUGCCGGUUACCCGCGACAAGACGGAAAGACCCCAUGGAGCUUUACUGUAGCCUAAUAUUGGGUUUCGAUGUUGCAUGCACAGGAUAGAUGGGACUCUGGGAAACCAAGGCUUUGGCCUUGGCGGAGAGGCCGUUGGGAUACCAUCCUUGCGAUAUUGGAAUUCUAACCUGCGGCUCUGAAUCGAGUCGGGGGACAUUGUUAGGUGGGCAGUUUGACUGGGGCGGUCGCCUCCUAAAGAGUAACGGAGGCGUUCAAAGGUUCGCUCAGCUUGAACGGAAAUCAAGCAAAAGAGUGCAAACGCAGAAGCGAGCCUAACUGCGAGACUGACGGGUCGAGCAGUAACGAAAGUUGGAGUUAGUGAUCCGGUGGUAUGUGAGUGGAAAUGCCAUCGCUCAACGGAUAAAAGUUACCCUGGGGAUAACAGGCUGAUCUCCCCCAAGAGUCCACAUCGACGGGGAGGUUUGGCACCUCGAUGUCGGCUCAUCGCAUCCUGGGGCUGUAGCAGGUCCCAAG
rnacentral:rRNA from 1 species